CGCUUACGUGGUUGCCGAGGCAACUGGGCGGUGCCAGCGCGAGCGGGAAGGGGGCGUACGUCGAGUUUUUGUCUGCUAGCCUGCGAGACUUCAGGAGUGGCCAUCCCUAAACUUCCAGCCCCUUGAGACCUCGGCUUCUGCUCCAGACGGUGCCUCUGCCCCUGGGGGCCAUGGGCCGGAUCUCAGGGCUCGUGCCCUCUCGGUUCCUGACGCUCCUGGCGCAUCUGGUGGUCGUCAUCACCUUAUUCUGGUCCCGGGACAGCAACAUCCAGGCCUGCCUGCCUCUCACGUUCACUCCCGAGGAGUACGAGAAGCAGGACAUUCAGCUGGUGGCAGCGCUCUCUGUCACCCUGGGCCUCUUUGCAGUGGAGCUGGCCGGCUUCUUCUCAGGAGUUUCCAUGUUCAACAGCACCCAGAGCCUCAUCUCCAUGGGGGCUCACUGUAGUGCGUCUGUGGCCCUAUCCUUUUUCAUAUUCGAGCGUUGGGAGUGCACCACGUACUGGUACAUUUUUGUCUUCUGCAGCGCCCUCCCAGCUGUCACUGAAAUGGCAUUAUUCGUCAGCGUCUUUGGGCUGAAAAAGAAACCUUUCUGAUCACCUUCAUGAUGGGAACGUAGAGAUGAAGGCUGGAGGAGCAAGGCACCACUCACCGUUCCUGGAAGAAGGCAGGCGUAGGCUUCAGCGCUCCCACUGAAACUGCAUUUGGUGGAAGAUGUCAGUGUUAGUAGUGUUAAGCUCCUGGUGCCAGCACAGUGCCUGACAUUAUAGAAUGAAAGAGCCCUCAUUUAACAAAUGAGGAAAAUGAGGCCCAAAGAGAAAACCAUUUGCUUCAGGACAUCAUGCAGGUAGAGAGAGCUGGGACCAGAACCCAAGUCUCCUGGCUGUCAGGCCAAAUCAGUUGACUCAAUUCAACAAGUGUUUAUUGAGCACCUUCCACCUGCCAGGCUCCGGGCUUGGCAUGUGAUAUGGAGAGAAAUAAGGAGGAUGGGGCUUCUUGCCAACCACACUAUCGGGAGGGGGACUUUUUCUCCCCCCACCCUGCCCAGUAGAGGAGCUUGCUCACCCCAGUGAAUAGAGGGCUGCAGAAUGAGGAUUUGGGACGAGGAGGCCUCCCAGGCUCCCAAUCCCAGAAGACUCUGAUUUGCCUGUGUCUUGUCCUACCCACACAGGGCUCUGGCAUGUGGCUCCUCCACCAUCCACACCCACACCACCCUGCUUCCCCGGGGGCCUUGAGGCCUGGGCCUGUCCUGCUGCAGUGAUAGGAGCUGGCUCCCUGGCCAAACUGGCGGCAAGUGAUCAGGGCAUCACCAGCCCAAACAGGGCUGUCCUCACAGGAACAGUGGGCACACAGGUCCUGCCCAAAUCCGUCCUCCCCAAACAGGUGCCUAGGAGUCCAGCAGUAGCAAGCCAUUUGCCUGCUAUGCUGGAUUCUCUUUUAAAACACUGAGACUGUAGUUUACCAUCAUUCACUAUUCAUUUGCCUGCCUUGUUUCUGGCACUGUGCUUGGUCUUUGUGCAGGGAGAACUACACAGGUUACAAAGAUACCACUUUAUGUAUGUAUAUUAUGUUUUAUAUAAAAAACAACUUUAAAAAGAGAUAUAUGUGGAAAAAGUUGAUUAACCAAUUAAAAAAAGACCCCAUGGACCAGCCCGGUGGAGC